rnacentral:rRNA from 1 species
AUUCCAGCUCCAAUAGCGUAUAUUAAUGUUGUUGCAGUUAAAAAGCUCGUAGUUGAAUUUCUGGUUAAAAUCUUAGCUGGCUUUGGUCGUUAAUGUUUUAAUCAUCCGUUAGAGAACUAUAACCGUCCUUAACUGGUCAUUAUAGAGAUCUAACAUUUUACUUUGAAAAAAUUAGAGUGUUCAAGGCAGGCAAUCGUCAUGAAUACUAUAGCAUGGAAUAAUGGAAUAGGACUUUGGUUCAUUUUAUUGGUUAUUGAACCUUAGUAAUGAUUAACAGGGACGGUCAGGGGCACUCGUAUUCCGCCGAGAGAGGUGAAAUUCUCAGACCAGCGGAAGACGAACCACUGCGAAAGCAUUUGCCAGGGAUGUUUUCAUCA